rnacentral:SRP_RNA from 1 species
GCCGGGCGUAGUGGCGUGCGUCUGUAAUCCAGCUACCUGGAGGCCGGGAAACGGAACGGCUUGAAGCUGGGAGUCCUGUCUGUCGACGCUCUAUGUUGAUCAGGUGUCCACUCUAAGCCUGGCGUCAACAUGGUCACCCUGG